rnacentral:rRNA from 1 species
ACGCUGGCGGCGUGCCUAACACAUGCAAGUCGAACGGGGAUAUAUUUCGGAUGUAUCCUAGUGGCGCACGGGUGAGUAACGCGUGAGCGACCUGACCCAAAGAGGGGGAUAACAUCGAGAAAUCGAUGCUAAUACCGCAUAAGACCACGGAGUCGCAUGGCUCUGAGGUCAAAGGAGCAAUCCGCUUUGGGAGGGGCUCGCGUCCCAUUAGAUAGUAGGCGGGUAACGGCCCACCUAGUCAGCGAUGGGUAGCCGAGCUGAGAGGCUGAUCGGCCACACUGGAACUGAGACACGGUCCAGACUCCUACGGGAGGCAGCAGUGGGGAAUAUUGGGCAAUGGGCGAAAGCCUGACCCAAGCAACGCCGCGUGAGGGAAGAAGGUUUUCGGAUUGUAAACCUCUGUCGCAGAUGACGAAGAAAGUGACGGUAAUCUGUGAGGAAGCCCCGGCUAACUACGUGCCAGCCGCAGC